GGGGUUGUGGCUCAGUGGUAGAGUGCUUGCCUAGCAUGCAUGAGGCAUUUGGCUCAAUCCUCAGCACCA
rnacentral:tRNA from 1 species